CAGUCGCCGCGGGAAUACGAAGGGGGCUAGCGUUGUUCGGAAUUACUGGGCGUAAAGCGCACGUAGGCGGAUAUUUAAGUCAGAAGUGAAAGCCCAGGGCUCAACCCUGGAACUGCUUUUGAGACUGCAAUUCUAGAAUUCGGUAGAGGCUAGUGGAAUGUCCAGUGUAGAGGUGAAAUUCGCAGAUAUUGGACGGAACACCAGUGGCGAAGGCGACUAGCUGGGCCGAUAUUGACGCUGAGGCACGAAAGCGUGGGUAGCAAACAGGAUUAGAUACCCCAGUAGUCCCUGUCUCUUAUAA
rnacentral:rRNA from 1 species